CACGUAGGGGGCGAGCGUUGUCCGGAUUUAUUGGGCGUAAAGGGUGCGUAGGCGGCGGGGCAAGUCUGAUGUGAAAUCCCGGGGCUCAACCCCCGGAACUGCAUUGGAUACUGCUCUGCUUGAGCACUGGAGAGGAGACUGGAAUUUACGGUGUAGCAGUGAAAUGCGUAGAGAUCGUAAGGAAGACCAGUGGCGAAGGCGGCAUCCUGGACCGAGAUUGACGCUGAGGCGCGAAAGCCAGGGGAGCAAACGGG
rnacentral:rRNA from 1 species